rnacentral:rRNA from 1 species
ACGGGGCCCGCACAAGCGGUGGAUUAUGUGGAUUAAUUCGAUGCAACGCGAAAAACCUUACCUGGCCUUGACAUGCCACUAACGAAGCAGAGAUGCAUUAGGUGCCGAAAGGGAAGUGGACACAGGUGCUGCAUGGCUGUCGUCAGCUCGUGUCGUGAGAUGUUGGGUUAAGUCCCGCAACGAGCGCAACCCUUGCCGAUAGUUGCUACAUUCAGUUGAGCACUCUAUUGGGGACUGCCGGUGACAAACCGGAGGAAGGUGGGGAUGACGUCAAGUCCUCAUGGCCCUUAUGGCCAGGGCUUCACACGUAAUACAAUGGUCGGUACAGAGGGUUGCCAACCCGCGAGGGGGAGCUAAUCUCAGAAAGCCGAUCGUAGUCCGGAUUGCACUCUGCAACUCGAGUGCAUGAAGUCGGAAUCGCUAGUAAUCGCGGAUCAGCAUGUCGCGGUGAAUACGUUCCCGGGCCUUGUACACACCGCCCGUCACACCAUGGGAG